rnacentral:piRNA from 1 species
UCCAGAAGCCAAGUGGGGUGUCAGCGGC